rnacentral:rRNA from 1 species
AGCGGCGAACGGGUGAGUAACACGUAGGAAUCUACCCAGUAGCGGGGGACAGCCCAGGGAAACUUGGAUUAAUACCGCAUACACCCUAAGGGGAAAAGAAGGCCUCUCUUUGAAGCUUCACUAUUGGAUGAGCCUGCGCAAGAUUAGCUUGUUGGUGGGGUAAAGGCCUACCAAGGCAACGAUCUUUAGCUGGUCUGAGAGGACGAUCAGCCACAUUGGGACUGAGACACGGCCCAGACUUCUACGGAAGGCAGCAGUUAGGAAUAUUGGACAAUGGGGGCAACCCUGAUCCAGCUAUACCGCGUGUGUGAAGAAGGCCCUAGGGUUGUAAAGCACUUUAAGCAGGGAAGAAGCGUAUUAAGUUAAUAUCUUAAUGCGUUGACGUUACCUGAAGAAUAAGGACCGGCUAACUCCGUGCCAGCAGCCGCGGUAAUACGGAGGGUCCAAGCGUUAAUCGGAAUUACUGGGCGUAAAGCGCGCGUAGGCGGUUUAAUAAGUUGUAUGUGAAAGCCCUGGGCUCAACCUAGGAACUGCAUACAAAACUAUUAAGCUUGAGGACGAGAGAGGAGAGUAGAAUUUCAGGUGUAGCGGUGAAAUGCGUAGAUAUCUGAAGGAAUACCAAUGGCGAAGGCAGCUCUCUGGCUCGUUUCUGACGCUAAGGUGCGAAAGCGUGGGUAGCAAACAGGAUUAGAUACCCUG